rnacentral:misc_RNA from 1 species
UUUCCCCUUAGAACCUCAGCAAUAUCAAAUAGAUCCUGAACUUUGAUUUGUUUUGCAUUACCAAAACUUUGGAAAUAACAAGUUUAGGCCACAAGUUCCCUAGCGCACUGCAAACUCACAAUUACUACCAAAAUUCAAUAAAAUGCCUCAAGGGGAUUGAUUGCAAUUCAUAAAGGCAGUUGUGGCCACAGUUAUUUAUUUCUGAAGUUUUGGACAAAUUUUCAAUUAGCAUCAAAGUUUAGGAUUUAUGUUGGUUAACCUUAUACUAUUCCAACACCAACAUAAUAGCAGAAGUAUAAGUAAUAUUAUAAGAACAAUUGGCUCCUCUUAUUCAACUCAGCAAGAAUUGAUAAACAAAUUUCCACGGGAGAAAACAAGGAAACAAAUUUCCACGGGAGAAAACAAGGAAAAGGAUGCCCCUAUACCCCAAGGACUCUCAGUUCAUUCCAUGCUGGAAUAUAGCGGUAGCAAUUUUCAUCCAUGUCUAAGCAUUCACCCUCUAAAGUAAAGUGAGAUUGAGAUGCUGACUGCAUUAGACAAGAGCUUCAUGCAUGCUGACUGCACAAGACAAGAGAGAAUGGCAUUCUUACUGCAUUGUAGAUUGCUCUAAGUUUUGGCAGCUGCUUUGGACAAAUGACGGACAGAGAAACAGAGCACUGAAAUGCAAACUAUGGGACAGUGACCAACUGGUGCCAAUAUUCAAGAAAUAAAGACAGAGAGAAGCCGACAAAAACAAUAUAAAAGUACAUGAGGAAAUGAUUUAGCAACGGUCUCUGCAUCAGAUAGAUGACUGACUCUCAGCUUGCGGAUCAAUAUUUUCACUCUGCUCCAAAUUUUGUAUUUGUGGUCAAUAGACUGGUGUUGGCAAGGGAUGAGGGUUACUUGCUACGAUAAGAACACAAUGCCUUUGCCCAUCUAUAUUCUGUUUAGUUUGGCUUCCAUUUGCAGCACAAGGGAACAUCUGAAUGAAGUAAAAAAGAAAACCAGAGAAAUAUCCUUUGCAAUUGAAUAAUAUAUUUAUUAAACCUAAACCUUAGCACAAUUCAACUCCUGUGCAACUUUACAAUCGAUGAUUAAUAGCAGUAAGGCUAACAACAACCAAAGAGCUUCCAAAACCUCUUUCCCAAACCAUGCAUACAAUAAGUCUAAUGGAACAAUCAACAAAGAUCUGACUAACAAUUCACAUCCAUUGAAGAUAAGUUGAGAGAAGAGUGAUUGAAAUUCUUUGGCAUGCUUACUGUAGACCAACAAAUGCACCAAUACAGAAAACUGAGCAUAUCUUAAUUACAGGAGUAAAGGAAAUUAAGGUUAGAUCUAGGUUGAUUUACAUAAAAUAGUGAAAAAGGCUUUAGUAGCAUUAGAUCUUUCUGUUAGCGUAGUCACAAAUAAGCAGAAUGAAAAUAAAUGAUCCAUAUAACUGACACAAACUAGAUUGGGAUUAAUACUUAGUUUAGUUCUUCCUCCUUAAAAGAAAGCAAAGAAAUUGCAAUAGCUACCAUCACUAUAGGAAGACAAAUAAUUUUUUUAUAGGAAGCGAAAGAGGAUAUAACUCAAAAGACUAAAAAUCUAGAAUAUAAACACUGCAUACCAUUGAAGCUUCAGAAAGACCUUCUGCGAUUGCAGUGUCAUUGAAGCCAUCACCAGCAAAAAGAAUGGCUGAUAACCAUUGUAAAAAGAUGUCAACAUCUCUUGUCCAGCCAGUCCGUUGCACUAAGCAAGCAGAAUAAGAUCCAUGAGAAUUAAAUGUGACCAGU